rnacentral:rRNA from 1 species
CGGAGGAUCCAAGCGUUAUCCGGAAUCAUUGGGUUUAAAGGGUCCGUAGGCGGGUUUAUAAGUCAGUGGUGAAGGCCCAUCGCUCAACGAUGGAACGGCCAUUGAUACUGUAGAUCUUGAAUUAUUAGGAAGUAACUAGAAUAUGUAGUGUAGCGGUGAAAUGCUUAGAGAUUACAUGGAAUACCAAUUGCGAAGGCAGGUUACUACUAAUGGAUUGACGCUGAUGGACGAAAGCGUGGGUAGCGAACAGGAUUAGAUACCCUGGUAGUCCACGCCGUAAACGAUGGAUACUAGCUGUUCGGAGCAAUCUGAGUGGCUAAGCGAAAGUGAUAAGUAUCCCACCUGGGGAGUACGUUCGCAAGAACG